rnacentral:rRNA from 1 species
CACGUAGGGUGCGAGCGUUGUCCGGAAUUAUUGGGCGUAAAGCGUGCGCAGGCGGUGAUGUAAGACAGGUGUGAAAUCCCCGGGCUUAACCUGGGAACUGCAUUUGUGACUGCAUCGCUGGAGUGCGGCAGAGGGGGAUGGAAUUCCGCGUGUAGCAGUGAAAUGCGUAGAUAUGCGGAGGAACACCGAUGGCGAAGGCAAUCCCCUGGGCCUGCACUGACGCUCAUGCACGAAAGCGUGGGGAGCAAACAGG